ACAUCUCGAAUGAAAUACUGGUUAAACGACAGAUUUACGAUCUGUGCGAAAGUAUUGUUGUAGUCUCGCCUGAAGAAGGAACACUUACCAGACGCCAUGAUGCGAGAGAUAAGGCAGACUUGACUAAAAUUACAAUACGUUGCGUGGAAAUAUUACACAGUUUUUAAGGUUUUCGUGUACCGAAACAAUUACAUUAAACACAGCGCUAUUUAAUCUUAUUAUUAUAUAUCGCUUAUUUUCUAAAUUGAGCUUCGACUUAAAUCGACCUUAACCCUGUUAGAUUUUUUGAUUCAUAUUAGACACGACUCUGUUUCUUGUUACUAACAAAUUUCUUAAAUUACAGGGAAGUAAUAUCUUCAUUAUCCACUACAAUUUCUCUUAAGAUAUUAAAAAUCUCAUUGUUUGUUAAAAAAAAAAGAAUAAAACGAAAACAUAAAAAUCCGAGAACCGCAGUAGUAACCUGCGAACAUAAUCAUUUUACGUCAGAUUAUGUACACUUUCGAUGAAAAUUACUCUUUGAUUAUUUUAUAAGACAAUUACCACAUUUAAGGUCAGACGACGCGGUAUUUGUAUAUAUUGACGUAAGAGUGUUUUAUACCAUAACUCCAGAACGCCAGAAACGGUAAAUUUUCCGUUAAAUAGAUGGCCAAUCGCAUUUGGCUGUUGAAGAACGCCCUGAAGAAUCGGGACCACCAAUACGUAGUUGGUAAUAGGUAUUUGUGUGUAAUUAGUUGAACAUUCAAGAUAAAUCUACCGUACCACGACAUCCUUGAUGAAUCUAAAAAUAUUAUCUUUUUGCAUAUACGCUAAGUUCAAUUUACGUCUAUAUAGUAGAAGAUUUACCUAUUUUUAACGAGUGAUUAUUAUUCGUUGCGGCAGUGGAGGCUAGAAUGAAUGUGAAUUCAAUGAAAGCAUUCGAAUCCAUAUAAGGAUUCACCGGCCAUAGGGAUUCUAUUAAAAUACGACUCAUCUCUUCGAAAUCUUUGCUACCACUGGCGAGUGAGGGGAG
rnacentral:misc_RNA from 1 species